rnacentral:misc_RNA from 1 species
GGCCGAGGGGGAGGCCCACCCGGGCGACCUCGGUUCGACUCCCCGCCGGUGUCCCGGGGGUACCAGUGGACGGCCGGGGCGGACGGCCGGCCAAAACCUAAGUCGAUGGGGGGUGACCAGCGGCGGGGAAGCACCGGGGCCCUCUCCCAGAGGCGCAGGCCCGCGGGGGGGAGAGUCGGCGGCGGGGAGAGCGUGGCACAAGACUCCCCCGUCCGGAGCCUGGGAGUCCCAGGGCGAGUCGUCCAAAACCUAAGUCGAUGUGGGGUGACCAGUGGUAGAUCCCCGGCGGGGUGACCAGUGGCUUGGUUCUCCGAGAGGGCGCGGAUGGCCGGAUCAGUAACCCGGGCUUAAGUGUGGGAUGCCCGGGUUCGCACGGUGGUUGGGGUCGGGGUCCUGCUCCGGAGGUCAGGGGCGCAGGUGGAGGAGUGGCGGCCGGGGAGGAGAGAGGUCGGGGCGGGCAGAGGGGGUGAGCGAGGGUUCCCCCCCUCAGGCCGGAGUCGUGGUUCCCUGGGUCGGGCAGAGGGGUUGAGCGAUGGUCGCCCCCUCAGGCCGGAGUCGUGGUUCCCUGGGGCGGGCAUGCAGACUCCCCAUGCGGACCCUGGAAGUCCCAAGGCGAGUCGUCCAAAACCUAAGUCGAUGUGGGGUGACCAGUGGUAGAUCCCCGGCGGGGUGACCAGUGGCUUGGUUCUCCGAGAGGGCGCGGAUGGCCGGAUCAGUAACCCGGGCUUAAGUGUGGGAUACCCGGGUACGCACGGUGCACAGGUCGGGGUCCUGCUCCGGAGGUCGGGGGCGCAGGUGGAGGAAGCAGCGGCCGGGGAGGAGAGAGGUCGGGGCGGGCAGAGGGUGUCAUUGCAGGUGACCCCCCCCAGGCUGGACGAGUGGACGCUGGACGAGUCAGUAAGCCGGGCUUAAGUGUGGGAGUCCCGGGUUCGGUCGGCGAACAGGUUGGGGCGGUUCUACGGAGGUGCAGGUGGGUCCCCGGAGGAGAGCGAGGCCUCGGCCUGGGUGGGAUAUGGCCGAUAAGCUUCGAUAUUGGUGGGGGUAUCUCCGGCUCCCAGGGCUCCACCGGCUCGGGGUAGGCGGCGUCUGAUAGGAGGCCUCGGGGUCUACCUCUGCCCCGAGUUUGAAGUUCCUGGGGCUCGGCCUGGGCGAGAUACGGCCGGUCAAAGUUCUGACUUUGGUGCGCUCUAUCUCCGGCCCCCAGGGCUCCACCGGCUCGGGGUAGGCGGCGUCUGAUAGGGGGCCUCGGGGUCUACCUCUGCCCCGAGUUUGAAGUUCCUGGGGCUCGGCCUGGGCGAGAUACGGCCGGUCAAAUUUCUGACUCUGGUGCGCUCUAUCUCCGGCCCCCAGGGCUCCACCGGCUCGGGGUAGGCGGCGUCUGAUAGGGGGCCUCGGGGUCUACUCUCUGCCCCGAGUUUGAAGAACCAGGGGCUCGGCCUGGGCGAGAUACGGCCGGUCAAAUUUCUGACUCUGGUGCGCUCUAUCUCCGGCCCCCAGG